rnacentral:rRNA from 1 species
AUUGAACGCUGGCGGCAUGCUUUACACAUGCAAGUCGAACGGCAGCACGGGGGCAACCCUGGUGGCGAGUGGCGAACGGGUGAGUAAUAUAUCGGAACGUACCCGGCAAUGGGGGAUAACGUAGCGAAAGUUACGCUAAUACCGCAUAUGCCCUGAGGGGGAAAGUGGGGGAUCGCAAGACCUCACGUUGUCGGAGCGGCCGAUAUCAGAUUAGCUAGUUGGUGGGGUAAAGGCCCACCAAGGCGACGAUCUGUAGCUGGUCUGAGAGGACGACCAGCCACACUGGGACUGAGACACGGCCCAGACUCCUACGGGAGGCAGCAGUGGGGAAUUUUGGACAAUGGGGGCAACCCUGAUCCAGCCAUGCCGCGUGAGUGAAGAAGGCCUUCGGGUUGUAAAGCUCUUUCGGACGGAAAGAAAUCGCCAUUUCUAAUACAAGUGGUGGAUGACGGUACCGUCAUAAGAAGCACCGGCUAACUACGUGCCAGCAGCCGCUGUAAUAC